GGUAACCUGCCUGUAAGACUGGGAUAACUCCGGGAAACCGGAGCUAAUACCGGAUAGUUCCUUGAACCGCAUGGUUCAAGGAUGAAAGACGGUUUCGGCUGUCACUUACAGAUGGACCCGCGGCGCAUUAGCUAGUUGGUGAGGUAACGGCUCACCAAGGCGACGAUGCGUAGCCGACCUGAGAGGGUGAUCGGCCACACUGGGACUGAGACACGGCCCAGACUCCUACGGGAGGCAGCAGUAGGGAAUCUUCCGCAAUGGACGAAAGUCUGACGGAGCAACGCCGCGUGAGUGAUGAAGGUUUUCGGAUCGUAAAGCUCUGUUGUUAGGGAAGAACAAGUGCAAGAGUAACUGCUUGCACCUUGACGGUACCUAACCAGAAAGCCACGGCUAACUACGUGCCAGCAGCCGCGGUAAUACGUAGGUGGCAAGCGUUGUCCGGAAUUAUUGGGCGUAAAGGGCUCGCAGGCGGUUUCUUAAGUCUGAUGUGAAAGCCCCCGGCUCAACCGGGGAGGGUCAUUGGAAACUGGGAAACUUGAGUGCAGAAGAGGAGAGUGGAAUUCCACGUGUAGCGGUGAAAUGCGUAGAGAUGUGGAGNGAACNACCAGUGGCGAAGGCGACUCUCUGGUCUGUAACUGACGCUGAGGAGCGAAAGCGUGGGGAGCGAACAGGAUUAGAUACCCUGGUAGUCCACGCCGUAAACGAUGAGUGCUAAGUGUUAGGGGGUUUCCGCCCCUUAGUGCUGCAGCUAACGCAUUAAGCACUCCGCCUGGGGAGUACGGUCGCAAGACUGAAACUCAAAGGAAUUGACGGGGGCCCGCACAAGCGGUGGAGCAUGUGGUUUAAUUCGAAGCAACGCGAAGAACCUUACCAGGUCUUGACAUCCUCUGACAACCCUAGAGAUAGGGCUUUCCCUUCGGGGACAGAGUGACAGGUGGUGCAUGGUUGUCGUCAGCUCGUGUCGUGAGAUGUUGGGUUAAGUCCCGCAACGAGCGCAACCCUUGAUCUUAGUUGCCAGCAUUUAGUUGGGCACUCUAAGGUGACUGCCGGUGACAAACCGGAGGAAGGUGGGGAUGACGUCAAAUCAUCAUGCCCCUUAUGACCUGGGCUACACACGUGCUACAAUGGACAGAACAAAGGGCUGCGAGACCGCAAGGUUUAGCCAAUCCCACAAAUCUGUUCUCAGUUCGGAUCGCAGUCUGCAACUCGACUGCGUGAAGCUGGAAUCGCUAGUAAUCGCGGAUCAGCAUGCCGCGG
rnacentral:rRNA from 1 species